AUAUACAUACAUACAUACACUGAAUCCUCACACGAAGAGCCCUACAGGCGUGAGAACAGUAAGGGAGGUGCAAGAAAGGUCUCCUUGGAGUUGGGAGGCGUAUUUACAGCUACUAGAGAAGGGGGAAGUGCCAGCUCCCCGAGAAGAAAGCAGGAGGAUGCUGAGAGACUAAAGCUGAAAUUUUCUGCCUGCUUCCUCACUCUUUUCGUUGGUUUCAGCCGUCUGAAAAACCCUUGUGAGAGGAGCAAAAAGGUCAAGGGAAGAUUGUUGCCUUGCUCUCAGUCUUCAAAAUUUUCGAUCCUCUGUUUUUUUUGUUUUGAGACGCAGUCUCGCUCUGUCGCCUAGGCUGGAGUGCAGCGGCGCGAUCUCGGUCACUGCAACCUCCGCCUCCCCGGUUCUAGCGAUUCUUCUGCCUCAGCCUCCUGAGUAGCUGGGACUACAGGCGCGUGCCACCACACCCGGCUAAUUUUUUUGUACUUUUGGUAGGGACGGGGUCUCACGGUGUUAGCCAGGAUGGUCUCUAUCUCCUGAACUCGUGAUCCGCCCGCCUCGGCCUCCCAAAGUGCUGGGAUUACAGGCGUGAGCCACCGCGCCCGGCCGGUCCUCUGUUUUUAAACUGUAAAGGACUCCAGUGGAUUGUUCGAAGUCUCCGAUGUCCCGCGAUCUGGUGGCCGCAGAAGAAAGAGGCCGAGUCGGCGGGGACUGGGAACCACCAGUUAGCGGCCUACGGGCAACCUCUCGGACGCGCGCGCCGGGCCGACGUUAAACAGAAAACAGUUGUUUGGUUUUGAAGAUAAUCAGUUACCCCUCUAGAGAGGUCUAACGGGCAAGGAACUGAGGCCUCCACCCAAAAGUCGGCUUGAACUUGCCAGAUAUGCGAGUGUGCCACCUUGGAAGGGAAUCCUCCAGCUACAGUCAAGGAUUCGGAUGAUUGCAGCCUAUGUUUACAGCUUGACUUCAACCUCAAGGAAGACCCGGAGCCAUAACCACCUAGCUAAAUCACUUCUGGAUUCCCGACUCACAGAAAUUAGUUUUGGGAUAAUUUGUUACACGGCAAUAGAUAACAUAAUAGAUAUGGGGAGCCCCACAAUUAAGCUUAUAGAGCUACCAUAAUUUUUAUAAUGAAACUUGAUAAAGAUGGAGUUUCACUCUUGUUGCCCAGACUGGAGGACAAUUGCGUGAUCUUGGCUCAAUGCAACCUCUGCCUCCUGGGUUGAAGCGAUUCUCCUGCCUCAGCCUCCUGAGUAGUUGAGAUUACAGGUGCAAGCCACCAUGCCUAUAUGAUUUUUGUAUUUUUAGUGAGAGACGGGGUUUCACCAUAUUGGCCAGGCUGGUCUCGAACUCCUGAGCUCAGGUGAUCCGCCUGCCUCAGCCUCCCAAAGUGCUGGGAUUACAGGCGUGAGCCACUGUGCCUGGCCUCUUUUUCUUUUUUCAAAAAGACACUAGUCAAUUCGAGUCUUUUUUUUUUUUUUUUUUUUUUGAGACAGAGUCUCAUUCUGUGGCCCAGGCUGGAGUGCAGUGGCACGAUCUUGGCUUACUGCAAACUCCACCUCCCGGGUUCAUGCGAUUCUCCUGCCUCAUCCU
rnacentral:antisense_RNA from 1 species